UACGAAGGGUGCAAGCGUUACUCGGAAUCACUGGGCGUAAAGCGUGCGUAGGCGGUUGAUUAAGUCUGCUGUGAAAGCCCUGGGCUCAACCUGGGAACUGCAGCGGAUACUGGUCAGCUAGAGUGUGAUAGAGGAUGGUGGAAUUCCCGGUGUAGCGGUGAAAUGCGUAGAGAUCGGGAGGAACACCAGUGGCGAAGGCGGCCAUCUGGAUCAACACUGACGCUGAGGAGCGAAAGCGUGGGGAGCGAACAGG
rnacentral:rRNA from 1 species